AACGAACGCUGGCGGCGCGCCUAAUACAUGCAAGUCGAGCGAGAAGACGUAGCAAUACGUUUGUAAAGCGGCGAACGGGUGAGGAAUACAUGGGUAACCUACCCUCGAGUGGGGAAUAACUAGCCGAAAGGUUAGCUAAUACCGCGUACGCUCCUUGGACUUCGGUUCAGGGAGGAAAGCGAUACCGUGGGUAUCGCGCUCUUGGAUGGGCUCAUGUCCUAUCAGCUUGUUGGUGAGGAACGGCUCACCAAGGCUUCGACGGGUAGCUGGUCUGAGAGGACGAUCAGCCACACUGGCACUGCGACACGGGCCAGACUCCUACGGGAGGCAGCAGUAAGGAAUAUUGCGCAAUGGGCGAAAGCCUGACGCAGCGACGCCGCGUGGGGGAUGAAGGUCUUCGGAUUGUAAACCCCUUUCGGGAGGGAAGAUGGAAUGGGUAACCCAUUCGGACGUACCUCCAGAAGCAGCCACGGCUAACUUCGUGCCAGCAGCCGCA
rnacentral:rRNA from 1 species